UUUUAGGAUUUUAAAUAGCUCAGCAGGAAUUCCAUCACCUUCACUAGCUUUGUUCACAGUAAUGCUUCCUAGGGCCCACUUGACUUUCCACUCCAGGAUGUCAUGUUCUAUGUAAGUGACCAUACCUUCAUGGUUAUCCAGGUCAUUAAAACCUUUU